CGGGCACUGAUGCUGCAGUAUCACUCAGCCGGGGCCAGGCGGAGCCUCGAAAAGAAGCCUCGACAAGACGCGGGCCUGUAUCCCUGGACAUCAGCACCAAGUCCGGCUGCAGUCACGGGCCAGCGAGAGGGAGAAAGCACCCCGAGGCCCCCAGCGCCAUCUCACCUCUGCUAUCAACAUGUGGGAAGACGUGUCAUAGUCUGUGAAGCGCUGAGUCUCACGGGACCCAGACGUGGAAUAUGCAUCUGAGUGUGACCAGGAGGACCUCGAAGCAUGAGAUAGAGAGGAGACGCAUACAGGGACAUGUGUCCCAUCCUUGCUGAGGCUUGUUGGUGACAUCUGAUCACAGCAAUGCCCCCUGAUCAGCACUCAGAGCCUCAGAGCCAACGGCCUCACUCUAGAGCCUGCUUCCUGCCACGAGCCAACUCUGCCCUCUCUGUUUUCUUCUCAGGAGGAGGAGUCUGGGGUUCCAGAGAGGACCUUGGAGGCCCGCCAUGCAACACCCUCCUCUGUUCUCAGGCCACCUGCCAACAGGGAAACUGAAGCACAGAACAAGAGAAGGAAACGGAAGUGACACUUCCCAGCUUAGAGGUUUUGCAGCUGCUGUUCCUUCUGCCCAGAAUCCUUUUCCACGUGAUCAUCACACAGUGGACCAGUGAGUCAGGCAUGUGAAGCACUUAGGAGUCUGGCUGCCCUCAGGGACCACCCUGGAGGGACUGUGUAGGGAGAGGGGUGGCCAGGUAGCUCCAGCUACUAGGAGGAGAAAAGCCUUCGAGAUGAGCCCAGGCCCAGCUCCCUGCAGUCGCGAGAGAAAGCCUGAGUGAGAACUUCAGAGAGAGCCCAGGUACCCCCAGACUCGUGAGCCACGGCUUUGGAACAGUUUGUUACUCAGCAUCAGCUCACUGCAGCAGACCUGCAAGGCCGACCCCACUGUGCCUUCUGGGCAGAGGGCAUCUGAUGCCAACAAGCUACCGUGAGGAGCUCCCACCCCAGCUGAGUCUCUUAGCAAAAGCCCAGGGACCGACUCACCUGGGCUGCAUCUCAGGAAAGCACCGAGGCCAGGGCUGUGGGGAGGGUGACCACACUGACUGGGGGUCAUGUGACUUUGCAGACAGAGACAACAAGGGAGGGAAAUGGCAGCCCAUGUCUCCACCCAAAUCCACAAAAGCUUCUAAGAAGGAAACCAAGCAAGGAGGCCAGGAAGUCAUGCCUGAGUUCUGCGGGUGUCGGGAAUUUUCACAUGGGUUUCCCUUCCAUCCUCCCCACCGCCUCGUGAUUUAGGUGACAUCAACGGCCCUCUAGAGAGGAGAUCAGAGACACAGAGCAAGGUGUCCAUGGGCACAGCCACAGAGCUCGGAUUCGGACCCGAUUUGUCUGAUUCCAACUUUCUCCAUCAGUAAGCAAAGCACGUGAGAGGAAGGAGAGGGGAGAUUGUCCUCCGCGCUGGGACCCACAACCACAGAACUACGCAAGGCAAACACAACAGAGAUUAGAAUGCUGGGGUUUGUUCUCAUGGGCCUCAAUAUCCGUUCUUCCACUGAAGAGAGGACCUCGUUCACAGCUGUGUCCCCGACAUCUGGAACAAGACCUGGCCCCGAGCAGAUGUGCAACCAGUAUCUGCCCAAAUGAAGGAAUGCACAGGCCACAGGCCCAGCAGUUGAUCUUGAGUUCUAAAGGAAGGGGCUGGGCCAGACAAUGCCCGUCCCCGCCUCCGCACUGAGGGGCUUCCUGACCAGUGACAUCACCCUGCCUUCCCCCGCAGCCUCUGCCUCCUCAGCACUGUCUUAGGAAGGUCUGCUGCAGAACGCCGUUGAGAUCAGGGUGCUGUCUGCAUGCGAUGCAAGGCCCUGCAUCCAGGAAUGCUAAUCCCAGGUCCCGGAUAAGAAGCCGCACCUGGACGUGAGGUGUGACAAGCAGACAGACUUUUCCCGGGGGAGUGGGUGUCCAUCUUUAAACACUUAAUGUACCUUAUAUUCAUUGUAAAACAGCAAACACAGACUGAAUGGACAAGGUCGGGAGACCAUGGUGGUGGGGGAACACGUGAAUUCCAUGGAAUCCCAACACCCAGAAAUGACACACGUUUUCAACAUGCCAGUGUGAUUUCAGAUGUUUUGAGCAACAAACGCUUUUUGAACUUUUUACUGAAUAUGAACACAGGGGAAAACUCACCCUCAUAAGUGUACACCGACUCAAGGGACAUGAGUCUGAGAAAACUCCAGGAGGUGGUGAAGGACAGGGAAGCCUGGCGUGCCACAGUCCAUGCGGUCACAGUCAGACACGACUGAGAGACUGAACAACACCACCACCAAAAGUGUAGAGUUCAGUGACCUUUGCCACGUCCAGGGGAGUAUGAACACACAAGGUGGAGUGAGCUAAUCCUGUUCUCUUUGUCCCACGUUCUCAUGAACGUACUUUCCUUCUGUCCCCCCACAACAAGCCUGCUCCUGGUCACAUCAGCCCACCUCCUUCACAGGGCAACCCCCCAACCAGAAGAGCCCAGGGGCAUCGCAGGGGCUCCCGCAGGCAGUCAAGGUUCUCCACAGUGUGCAAGACCAGUGUGUGUCUCCCAGCCGCGCUGCACGCCCCCCCAGAGCAGCACCCCCAGAACAGAUCCUCCCCACAUCCAGCUCUGCUCUGCAGCCCCAGCCCCAGCCCUGAGGUCCCACCCUGGAACAUUGAGGCUCCUCCCGAGAGAUUCUAGACAGGUAACAUGGCUCUCCUGAGACCAUGGGGGCCCCAGCACAGCGCCUGUCAGUUCCCCCAUGGGCUCUGGGAGAAAACAGGAACUUCCCCCAGCCCACUCGCUCCCACCAAGACUUCCCUGAGG
ensembl:lncRNA